GUCGGCGCGAAUAAGGCCAUCGAAACGGACAGGGACACACCCCACUUCUUACCGGCAAGUCACGAGCAGAGCGAAAAGCCAACUCAACAAAAGAUCAUGGGAUCGUGUCAAGUGGUGAUCGAGUACUGCGGCGGAUGAGGGUACGAGCCCCGGUACCGGAAGCUACAGGAACUGAUCCAGUCCAAUGUACCCGGUGCCGAGGUUCAAGGAUUCAUCGGCAGAACCAGCUCCUUCGAGGUGAGAAUCAACGAGCGGCUAGUCUACUCCAAGCUGCAGGAAAAGUCGCUCCCCAACUUCGAGGAGGUGGUUGCUGUGGUGAAGGACGUGUCGGACGGCCGGCCGAUCCGGCAGGUGGGGGAGAGGCAGUCUUCCGCGUGCGACAUCGUGUAAGGCAGCCGCGGUCCCUGCACCAUCCGUCCAAUCGGCCCACGCGGUCGGCCGCCCCCUGACUACGUCCAGAGGGAACGAUUACGCAGUCGCCCGUCACACCAUCCGGACACAUCUCGGCUUCAGCAGCGGGCUGCAGUAGCUGCUUCGCUGUUUGCAUUAUGCCACGUUGGGCACCCGCGGAGUUAACUAGCCCGCAAAUGAUGUUUGGCAGGCCUUGUCUCAUUAGCGUCACGUGGCAAGAGGAAUUUUCACUACUAUCACUGCUGGAGGUGCGCACCUGCUCGCAAUUUCGUCCGAGUUGAGCUAGAGAUACGAAGCAAAAAGUUAAUGACAGCCUGGUGUGUAAGAAGUUGGGCAAUGUUUUUUUCGCCUUCUGGAGGCGAUCAAUGACCCUCCAGGCUACGUCCACCACUUGAAAAAACUGUGCCACCUCGAAGCAUAAAACGACCUGUUUAGAGACAAUCAGAUACACGGUCGCGUUUUAGGGCUCAGUGCAAACAAGUGACUUAUAACUGGUCUAAGUGUGUACUAGAUCGUCGUAGGCUGUUAACCUAGCUCACUCUUGAAAAGGUCAUUUAUUAUUGAAAUGUAACCUUAUGUCUGCAGAUCGUCAUCCGAUAGUUUUUUAUGGCCAGAAAUGCCAUUUUUACCAUUGAACAGCAAAAGCUAACGUAUGUUGGUAAAAUUUGUUCUGUUAAUCUUAAGAGAUGACGUGCCGGCCAUGUGGCCUGAUGUGACCUCGCAUUUCAUUUGUUUUAAAUGGCGUACGCAAUCGACAACGCCAAAUUUUACGCCGCUGCCAUUAGUCGUUUUCCCUGCCCGGAAUUAUGCUGAUUAUGGAAAUAUUUCGUCUAGCGAGGAUCAAAAUACCCCUGUUCUACCCAAAGCGAGGGGCACGCGAUAUGGGGACAUUGUAUCGUUAAUUUAGCUUCAUGGCUGGGUUCCUUUGAAAUUCGUUGCAACUGUGUCACGCAUUUCUGUGCUCCAAAAGUGUAAUUGACCGACAUUCUACGACGCUCCUUUAUCCAGAGGGCAUGGUUUACCGUCUUAGCUGUGAGCCAAAGACAGAGCUGACUACCCGUGAUGGGUUAAGAACCAAUUUGGAUGAAAGAAGUGUGACAUACGCUUGACUGGUGGUUCUCAAACUGCAAAAUGCGUAAAAGGAAUUUAGUAAUUGUUGGGAACUGGCAGAUGGUCUUUCGUUUUAAUUUGAAUCGCGACUACCUUGCCACUUGAGAGACGCUUUUUGGGUGCAUGCUUUGGCACGUUGAAAAAUGUUUUGAUUAAUCGCCUGCUCAGAUUUUCUCAACGCACGGAAAAGGGCCCAAUCGCUCCACCCGUGAAUCCCAUUGUCUAUAAUAAGUCAUCAAGUUCCCAUUGCUUUGUGGCCUCGAAUGCUUUAAAGAUCAUAGAGGUACUUAUCACCCAGUUCUUUGCGUAACAACAGGACCGUUACACUAGUAAUAAACUGAGCGUAUACGUCUACCAAGUGUCAUGGCUCUCAACUAUGAGCUCGAUUUUCUCCACUAUUUUGUAUCGCCAGCUUUACUGCAGAUGUAACGAAACUGAAGCUUCUUGGCUUGUGAGAAUACCGUCGAUAUGCUUAUUAAAGACACCGG
rnacentral:lncRNA from 1 species